rnacentral:rRNA from 1 species
GACGAACGCUGGCGGCAUGCCUAAUACAUGCAAGUCGAGCGGAGUUGAUGGAAAGCUUGCUUUCCUGAUACUUAGCGGCGGACGGGUGAGUAACACGUAGGCAACCUGCCCUCAAGCUUGGGACAACUACCGGAAACGGUAGCUAAUACCGAAUACUUGUUUUCUUCGCCUGAAGGAAACUGGAAAGACGGAGCAAUCUGUCACUUGGGGAUGGGCCUGCGGCGCAUUAGCUAGUUGGUGAGGCAACGGCUCACCAAGGCGACGAUGCGUAGCCGACCUGAGCGGGUGAUCGGCCACACUGGGACUGAGACACGGCCCAGACUCCUACGGGAGGCAGCAGUAGGGAAUCUUCCGCAAUGGGCGAAAGCCUGACGGAGCAAUGCCGCGUGAGUGAUGAAGGUUUUCGGAUCGUAAAGCUCUGUUGCCAGGGAAGAACGCUUGGGAGAGUAACUGCUCCCAAGGUGACGGUACCUGAGAAGAAAGCCCCGGCUAACUACGUGCCAGCCGCCGCGGUAA